GACGAACCGUGCAAACGUUAUUCGGAAUCACUGGGCUUAAAGGGUGCGUAGGCGGGCUCGUAAGUCAGGGGUGAAAGCCCACGGCCCAACCGUGGAAGUGCCUCUGAUACUGCGAGCCUCGAGGGGGAUAGGGGCGUGCGGAACUCAGGGUGGAGCGGUGAAAUGCGUAGAUAUCCUGAGGAACACCGGUGGCGAAGGCGGAUCUCUGGGCCGAUACUGACGCUGAGGAGCGAAAGCGUGGGGAGCGAACAGG
rnacentral:rRNA from 1 species